rnacentral:lncRNA from 1 species
CGUGCAUGAAGGAUGCUCGAAGUCGAAGCUAAAAGGAGUUGGACAUACAGGUUCUUUUGCCACAUCGUGGUGUGGUGAUAAGUAUGCAUGGCCGAGAGCUUCAUCAACUAUACACACAGCAGAAGCAACAGUUAAAUGCAAUAAAGAACUAAACCUAAUUAUUUUAUGGUCGGUUUGCGUUCAUGAUUAAACAGCAUACCAAACUGGUUUGGUUAACUAGUAGUUAUAGAAAGAACUCCAUAAAUGAACAUAUGCAAUUUUGUUGUUGAAAUGUAUGUGUUUCUUUGUUGAACAUAUGUGAUUCUUUGCAAUGAAUAUAUUUUAGUUGUUUAUAUAUAUACUAUUGGUUGAUUUCCGUCUUGCAUCAAAUUCAAGAUCAUAUCAGGCCAUAUUCAUCAGUAAACCGGCAAAGUAUGUUUUCAGUUUAACACCCUUCUGCAUAUAGAAUCUCUAACAAAAACCUCAUGAAUGUUGUUGUUGUUACCUGAGAUACGUCGGUUUGGAUCAAAGACGAGCAUUCUCUCCAGCAAAUCAAUAGCGGUAGGGGGCAUUUUGGGGAAUCUAGCAGCAAACUCUUGUUUAGGGUAUCGUGGAAGUUGCCUCACGUAUCUUCUCGCGUUGUCACUGCGAAGGAAACCGAGACUGGAGUUGUCUGGAGAGCCUACAAGCUGUAUAUAUUCAACAAGUGAAAUCAGAAAGGUAUCUGCUGUUUUCAGACAAAGGUGAAAAAACUGAUGUUUUUUCUUUCUUUGUACCUCUGUGAUGAGCCUAAGCUGAUGAACAUAGUCUUUCCCAGGAAACAACGGUUGUCCCGUCAUGAUUUCACCGAAUAUGCAACCAACAGACCAUAUAUCGAUAGCUGCAGUGUACUCCGAGCAGUUAAGAAGCAGCUCAGGAGCUCUGUACCAACGGGUAACCACAUACUCGGUCAUGAAGUCUGUGUCUGAAGUUGUUCUCGCAAGCCCAAAAUCACCAAUCUUUAGCUCGUGUUUGGAGUUAAGCAGCACGUUGCUUGGCCUUAAAUCACGAUGUAAUAUGUUGGCUGAGUGCACGUACUUAAGCCCUCUUAAGAGCUGGUACACAAAGAACUGCCAAGAAAAAAAAAGAUUAGAUCAGAGUGUUCCCACAGUUACAUGGGAUUAGAUCAAGACUUACGCGGCACUGGUCGUGGCUUAAGGUUUGCUUAGAACGGAGGAUACGCUGGAGAUCAGUGUCCAUUAACUCAUAGACAAUGUAAACAUCGUUGAAGAUAUCACGUUGUGGAGGUCUUACAAUAUCUUUGAUGGCUAUGACCUGAAAGAAUCCAAACCAAAGGCUUUAAGAAACAGAGGAAACAGAGUAUCCUCUGUUUUUCUCGUCCUUGAAGAAAGUUAAUAUGUGAGGUGAUCAAUCGUUAUAAGGCUUACGUUCUCAUGAUCCAUGUGCCUGAGAAGCUUGAUUUCACGUAGAGCUCUCUUAGCAUCAAUGAUGUUAUCAAAUUUUAUCGAGUUGUUUAUAAAACUGUUGUUAUAUGAUUCAUGUAAAUUUUCAGUGUUGAUUUAAAAGCCCAAGAAAAUCCAUCUAUACUGACUUUUUUAUUUUUUUCUGUGAUUUAAAUUAAAAAAAAUAAAACUUUUGAUAAGUUAUGUAAACUCAGAACAAGUAUUUAACUUUAGAAAGCAUUUACAUGUUUCAAACUUAUAAUAUAUACAUAUAUAAUGUUUAAAAUUAUGUAUAUAAAACCUGUAUAAAAUGUGCUUAAAUAUGUUUCUCUUCUUUAAUGUGUUAAUUGUACUAUAUAUAACAUUAUUUUAAAAUUUCAAAAAGUUUAUGUCACAUUCAAAAACUAUCAAUAAAAAAUAUAAUUCUCCAUCUACAACCAGAAAAAAGAAAAACUAUAAACAUAUAAAUUUAAAUUAAGAAAAACUAACAUUGGAAAAACAAAAAAUUAAUGUAAAAGAAACAAACCGACAAAUAAUAUUAUAAAUAAAAUAAAUUUAUAAGGCACAAUCCGCGCGAAGCGCGGAAAAAAUCUCUAGUAUAACUAAUAAGAGCAUAAAUACAUGUCAACUAUUUUUAACCUAUGUGAAAAUAUUAAAUUGACACUUUUUGCAAAAUGGAUAGAAUAAGAUCCUUCAUCAUAACCGAAGAAGUUGAUAAGAAUCGAAUUCUGCAAUGGUUUAAUAUAUAGAGAUAGAUAGUAAAUGUAUGUGUCUCAUCAUUAUAGCAUUUAUUCAACCAAAAUAAAAAUGAGUUUACAAAGAACUUGUGAUAAAGAAAAACAGAGAGAUUUGAAAAGGGAUCAUCAUCAUCAAACAUGCUCAUUUUGUUGUUGUCUCCUCAAUGGUCAGGAUUGAAUUUGACAGACUCCUUGUAGAUAAGCUCUUUUAUGUGUUCUUCCGUGCAUGAAGGAUGCUCGAAGUCGAAGCUAAAAGGAGUUGGACAUACAGGUUCUUUUGCCACAUCGUGGUGUGGUGAUAAGUAUGCAUGGCCGAGAGCUUCAUCAACUAUACACACAGCAGAAGCAACAGUUAAAUGCAAUAAAGAACUAAACCUAAUUAUUUUAUGGUCGGUUUGCGUUCAUGAUUAAACAGCAUACCAAACUGGUUUGGUUAACUAGUAGUUAUAGAAAG